GGCAAAUGUGAAAAGAUGUAUGUGUGAGAGAGAGAAAGAGAGAGAGAGAGAGAGACUCUGACUGACUGACUGUUCAUCUCAUAUUCAUUACAUUUGAACCAGAGUACUAACACAUAGUGACAAAGGGACUCUUUCUGAAAGCUUGUGAUCAUCUGGACAUGCGGAUGCAGCUAACACUGAGACAUUUACAACCGGUCGACGUCACUGAGACUUUCAGCAGGACGCAGUUGGCAUGUCUGUGUCUGAUGCACACUGAGACUGAGCACAGUCUGCUCUGGGUCCUGGCUGGGUUAUGGGAACUUUCUUGUCAGUACUUUAAGAAACUGGGAUUGAGAAGGCUGAGGUUGAUGGAGAACCUGUAAUUAGUCUCGCUCAGGGCUGAUUUUAGUGACUGAAGGUUUGGGAUCAGACCGCGUGUGACAUCAUGACUUUGGCGGCUCGACUGGACGAUUUAGAGGCUACACUGGAGCACAUGCUGAUGGAUGUGUUUUAUGCUGUUCUAGGUCACUUUCAUGGACAAAAGGUAACAGAAUCUUUAUUAAGUUCUAGAAGUCAACUUUAUAAUUAUAGCGACCUAUUAUAACCCCAAUUCCAAAAAAAAGUUGGGACACUGUGUAAAACGGAAAGAAACAUAAAUAAAAACAGAAUGCAAUGAUUUGCAAAUCAGACAAACCCAAAUGUUAUUCACAAUAGAACAUAGAAAACAUAUCAAAUGUUUAAACUGAGGAAAUGUUAUCAUUUUAAGGAAAAAAUAAAGUAAUUAGCAAAUUGUUCCUCCAGCUGUUUCUUUUCCAGCCUUUUGUUGCACCGUCCCAACUUUUUUUGAGACGUUGCGGCCAUCAGAUUCAAAAAUUUCUAUGUUCUGUUGUGAAUCAUAUAUGGGUUUAUAAGAUUUGCAAAUCAUUGCAUUCUGUUUUUAUUUACAUGUUACACAGCGUCCCAACCUUUUCGGAAUGAGGGAAUUGUACUUCCAUUUUAGAAAUGCAGUGUGGUUAUGAGACUUAUUUCUAAUCUUAAUUCAGGUCUUCUUAUCUACUUAUAGAUCAACCGUAAAUGAUUCAUUAGGUCAAACAUGUUUUUUGAGUAAACUGAGACCUUUUAUAAGUUUUUGUCCCAGUUUAGUGUAUCUUAAGUAUACUAUGACAAGUACUUAAUAUGUACUUAUUUAUGUACUUCCUUUCCAACUGUAGUAUACUUAAGCAAUUUUUUUUUUAUAAAGAUAUGUAUAGUGUGAUGUGCAAUGUGGUCAAAAGAAGCAUGAAUUUCUCAUUACAGUCACAUGACCACUAUCAGAUAUGACGUGUAUCCGACUUAUGAAACGUACGCAAACAUUCGUCAAAUCUGAUUUUAAAACGAAAAUCGCACAGCUCACAUCAUAAUUUUUGCAUCUUCAUCACCCACUCAGUACUGUUCAUUUGAUUAUAAUUCAGUAUAUUUAACCAUCUAUUAUGGAGUCUCAUCCAUUGUUUCACAUGUGUCUGUUAUCUCUCCUUGCAUGGUUCCUGAGGCUGCUUCAUCCCACAGUGUGGGAUAUACAUGUUGUAAUACAGCGUUACCUCCUACACCUGACCUCCUUUUGCGUACAGUUUAAUCUAUGGCUCAUUCAGCUAAGGAAAGAGAAUCACACACACACACAGUGUUAGGGAACAGCCUCCAUGCCUGCUGCUGUGCUCGACCUCUCCCUGGAGACUCAUUGUUGCACUGGAAGGACAGAGCGAGAGACAGAAUGCUAAUUGAGGCUCAUUAAAUUGAACUAUAAUGUCAUUUCCUCGUUAGAGACCUGGUCAUCUGUGAUGUGUGAUCAUGUGAACUUGUGCGUUGGAGUGUGAGUGUGAUUCACAGUUUCCUUUUUGG
ensembl:lncRNA